rnacentral:rRNA from 1 species
UACGGGGGGUGCGAGCGUUGUCCGGAAUCACUGGGCGUAAAGGGCGCGUAGGUGGUUUGAUAAGGGUGUGGUGAAAGUCCGGGGCUCAACCCCGGAUCUGCCGUGCCGACUGUCAAACUCGAGGACUGUAGAGGGAGACGGAAUUCCGGGUGUAGCGGUGGAAUGCGUAGAGAUCCGGAGGAAGACCGGUGGCGAAGGCGGUCUGCUGGGCAGUUUCUGACACUGAGGCGCGACAGCGUGGGGAGCAAACAGG